UUCCGGUUGAUCCCGCCGGACCUGACUGCUAUCGGAUUGAUACUAAGCCAUGCGAGUCAUUGUAGUAAUACAAGGCAGGCGGCUCAGUAACGCGUAGUCAACCUAACCUAUGGACGGGGAUAACCUCGGGAAACUGAGAAUAAUACCCGAUAGAACAUUAUGCCUGGAACGGUUUAUGUUUCAAAUAAUUUAUUGCCGUAGGAUGGGACUGCGGCCUAUCAGUUUGUUGGUGAGGUAAUGGCCCACCAAGACUAUUACAGGUACGGGCUCUGAGAGGAGUAGCCCGGAGAUGGGUACUGAGACACGGACCCAGGCCCUAUGGGGCGCAGCAGGCGAGAAAACUUUGCAAUGUGCGAAAGCACGACAAGGUUAAUCCGAGUGGUUUCUGCUAAAGGAACCUUUUGCCAGUCCUAGAAACACUGGUGAAUAAGGGGUGGGCAAGUUCUGGUGCCAGCCGCCGCGGUAAAACCAGCACCUCAAGUGGUCAGGAUGAUUAUUGGGCCUAAAGCAUCCGUAGCCUGCUUUGUUAGUUUUCGGUUAAAUCUAUUCGCUCAACGAAUAGGCUGCCGGGAAUACUGCAAAGCUAGGGAGUGGGAGAGGUAGACGGUACUCGGUAGGAAGGGGUAAAAUCCUUUGAUCUAUUGAUGAC
rnacentral:rRNA from 1 species